GACGAACGCUGGCGGCGUGCCUAAUACAUGUAAGUAGAACGCUGAAGAGAGGAGCUUGCUCUUCUUGGAUGAGUUGCGAACGGGUGAGUAACGCGUAGGUAACCUGCCUUGUAGCGGGGGAUAACUAUUGGAAACGAUAGCUAAUACCGCAUAACAAUGGAUGACACAUGUCAUUUAUUUGAAAGGGGCAAUUGCUCCACUACAAGAUGGACCUGCGUUGUAUUAGCUAGUAGGUGAGGUAAUGGCUCACCUAGGCGACGAUACAUAGCCGACCUGAGAGGGUGAUCGGCCACACUGGGACUGAGACACGGCCCAGACUCCUACGGGAGGCAGCAGUAGGGAAUCCUCGGCAAUGGGGGCAACCCUGACCGAGCAACGCCGCGGGAGUGAAGAAGGGUUUCGGAUCGUAAAGCUCUGCUGUAAGUCAAGAACGGGUGUGAGAGUGGAAAGUUCACACUGUGACGGUAGCUUACCAGAAAGGGACGGCUAACUACGUG
rnacentral:rRNA from 1 species